rnacentral:misc_RNA from 1 species
GAUGAAGAACGUAGCGAAAUGCGAUAAGUAAUGCGAAUUGCAGAAUUCAGUGAGUCAUCGAAUCUUUGAACGCACAUUGCGCCCCUUGGUAUUCCGGGGGCAUGCCUGUUCGAGCGUCAUUUCAACCCUCAAGCUCUGCUUGGUAUUGGGCUCCGUCCUCCUCGGACGCGCCUCAAAGACCUCGGCGGUGGCGUCUUGCCUCAAGCGUAGUAGAAACACCUCGCUUUGGAGUGCAUGGCGUCGCCCGCCGGACGAAACCUUUUGUAUUUUCUCAAAGGUUGACCUCGGAUCAGGUAGGGAUACCCGCUGAACUUAAGCAUAUCAAUAAGCGGAGGA